CACUAGAUCUGUUCUUGUUCAGCCUUACAGCAUGAAUAGAAAUGGGUUAUUAUAGGCGUGGGGUUGGGGGACAGGUGCACUGCUAUUCUGGUCUGUAGAUUCUUCCUACUGUGAAAGAACAUUCUGUCCUGACUUAGAAAUUAAAGGAAUAUAGCACUGUCCUAAAUGGGUGUUUAAGGACAAGGGAGAGGUUGAGCAAACUGUCCUGAGACUGUCUAAACUGACUAAACAGUGUCCCCAGAAUGCUUCUCCGAAGUCAAAGCUUGCCUAUAGCCUGGUUUCUACCAGUGAGUGCUGAUGACAAAUAUCUUGGAGUACUAGGAAAGGAAAAGCCUUUCAUAUUCCCUUCAUCUAAAGAUUAAUUCCAUGUAAAAUCAACCUGCUUUCCUUGAUCUGUCAAUGUUUGUCAUUUACCUACCUAGAACAUUCUCCAGAAGUUGCAAAGCAAGUUCAUUAAUCUUGCUUGAUUUCUAGGGCAUAAUAAGGAGUCAGUAGUGUUCUCCGAUAUAUUAUUUUACUCAGUGGCCUAUAUUCAGGUCUCAGGAGUGGGUCAGCAUUGCUAUGUAUUUCCUAGCUGUUGAAUAGUUAAAUUCCAGAUAUCAAAUGUCUUAACUUUUGCUCCUAGUGUUACCUGGCAAAUUACCUGUAGAAGUCUAAUUUACCCCUGAAUAGCCAUAAAACCGUGCUGGACAUCUGGUCAACUUGUCGGUAGAGAACUGUGUGAAAAAAGCAUACAUAUGAUCAUGAGUCUCCCUGAAAGAAUAUAAGGAUAAGAAAUAACCUAAGAGAUUUUCAGAAUAUUUGAGAAUAAUUUUGGGAGGGAAAAGUGCUCUGCAAACUUUGCAGGACAAAGCUUACUAGACUAAAAUAGAUGGCACAUGUUCUUAAUAGUAUUGAAAGAAUGGGAGGAGAUGCUGUUUUUUGGUUUUGCUACUGUCAAGUCUAAACCCAAAGACUAUAUGGUAUAUAGCACUUAGCAUGGAACCGCCAAAGAUCAAUUAUUUGAUCUUCUUGUACACCAGAAACUUUAUGGCUGUCAUUUUGUUUUCUGUUUCAUGUGCACUGUAGUCUAUGGCUUAGUCUUAUACAUUGUUCUCAUUAACAUGUUUUAAGAGCUCAUCUUUUCUAUUUAGGUGAUAUGUUUUAUCAGAUAUGUCUUCAGUAGCAAGUCAUGGGUGCAGAAGGAGAACUUUGUGGAGUAAAACAGCGGAUGGUGAGGAGGUCCAUAAUACAUGUUUCAGAGCUUUUACUUUGGACCAGUUCUAUUCUGGUUUAUAUAAACUGUCUUCUAUUAGUUUGAUGAAAAAUCAGGAGUAAUCCUGAACACGUCUAUUGUAUAGUCUGACAAGGAAGUAAUGAGAUAUUUUUACAGUCUUUUAUCUACUUUUAUCUUUCCUGAAGUUCCAGAGAUCCUCGCAGAUGCCAGGUCCAUGAAAAGAAAACUUUUAAAGAAAUCACUGCUAGAGGAAGUUAAAUGUAAAUAACAGGAAUUGGCUUCUUGAGAACAAAGAAAAAUACUUCAGAAAACUACAUUUUAAAGAUCCCAGAAAGAAACACUGAUUUAAUACUGACCAAGCACCAGAUUAACUAUACCCAAAUCCCUUCUAACAGAUGUUUGGAGAUGCUUAAGAAUAAUUUUAAGACUAGCUUAACAGUUUUAAACUAUUAUUAUG